GAGUCGCACACGCUUUUCCUCAGGGUUCGAGAUUCGAUUCGAUGCGAUUCGAUUCGCCGUGGGCCCAAAAAAAUCGAGAACUGAAAACAAAAAUCGCGUUCGCAUGCGACAAAAUCUUUCGGCGAGUGUGUGAAUGUUGCUAAAUUUAUAAAUAACAGCUUAAGUUGUGCUGCUGCUCCCAAAGUAAAUCGAAAUAAAAGCAAAAGUGAUGCGUCCGUCGCUUCGUGAGGAAAGCGUAGAUGGAAAAUGGGAAAAUAGGAAAAUAAGAAAAAUAUCAACGCAUAAAUAAAGCGCUGCGUUCGCGUCCGAUUCUGUCGCAUUUGCCGGCUGCAUUCCCAAAUAGAUCGGGGCGCUAUAGGCUAUAUUUGCUUGAAUGCCCGUAGGCACCGCGGUAUCGGUCGGUACUCACAUAUAGAGUAUAUCCCAUAUCCCAAAUAACCUGGCCGGUGCGUGCCGGUGGAUUAUGUAAAGUGGCACACGGCCGAUCCCAAUAGCUCGGGAUAACACCGAACGCGAAAAAAACAAAGGAAAUAAGAGUUCAGCGGAGGAAUGAAUAUAAUGAAAAUAAAAUAGGGGAAUACAGAGAGUGUCGUAGAAAUUUGUCGCACGCGCGCGAUUUCAGUAAGUGCAUCUAAUUUAUUUUGCAUCUAUCGCAAUUGAGAGCCGUUCGGCGAGUGCAUCCGCCAGAUACGUUUUCGUAAUUGUCGUCAGUGGUUCGAGUUGCUCCGUUUCGAUCGCGCGAGUGCCUGCCAGAUUGGAUUACCGACCAGGCCCAAAAUAAAUUAUUCAAUUUUUGAAGGCACCAAGGCAAAUAUUGUGACCGGAUCUUGAUCGUUGGGCAAUCAACGAUCUAGGAUCGCCUGCCAAAAGCAACGUAAUGUCGUCCUACCGCAGUUAUACCCCCUGGAAAACAAGCUUGGGCAGUUCCUAUAAGCCUGGCAGCUCUUCGUAUGGAACCUCUGCAGACUCCACAUCGCGGUACACUUCCUUGGCCACGCCCAGUUCCUACAGACCCUCGUUUUCCGGAGGAACCUACCGCCUUAAAAGGGAUCCACCUCCACCAGCCACCACAACCACUCCAGUUAGUAGUUAUGUCAGUCGCAAUGCAAAGACAGAACCCAAGGAAGCAGCUCCAAGUGAGAGAACCAGUCCUGUUAAAAGAUAUACUGGUGCGACAACCAGUUCCCUGGGAAAAUACGGACGAUCUCGGGAUCCCAGUCCCGUGGCCUUGGAGCACACGAAUCGCAAUAAGUCCCGUGAUCCCAGUCCCGUGAUCGAAAGUGCCCGCAGUAAAUUAGGAGCCACAUAUCGUGGAGGUAACACCCCUACCUCCAGUUCAUCCUCUUCGGCCACCAGAAAUGCUUACAGCAAUCGAUAUGGAGCUGGUUCUCGGAUCGCGGGAAAUGGAAGUGCAUUAUCUUAUUUAACCACCAGUGAUUUUCAUGCCAGAACUGCCAGUAGAGCUAAGGCGAGCAGGGAGAAGGAAAAGGAGAAGGAAAAGGAGCUUGAGAUUGAGGAAAAGCCCACAAAUACCUCCAAUGGAGGGGAUAAAUCUCCCGAGAAGCAACAGGAAAGAAACACAGAGACGGAAACAGAAGCCAAUGAAACAUUCAUCACAGUUUCCGUGGUUACAAGAGCCACAUCACCCACUCUACCGGGCAGCACCACAGUACAACGAACUCGUCGCAUUGACCCAGCCAAAACCAUCGAAAAAACCAUCCAAAGAUCAACAAAGAAACGAGAGACAGUUGAUCAGGAGAUUCAGUCUGAUAGAAUGGACGAUUCAACCCGAUAUCUUCGUUAUAGUGCGGGUAGCAGUUUAAGUUCAAACUACAGUCCACAUCGGGAUAGGAUUAGUAGUCUGAGGUACAGUGCAAGUCCCUUGAACAGUUCAGCAUCAGCGAAGUCCAGUUCAGUGGGUGAAGUUAAGCAGAUUCAGUCGAUUCCAGAGGCUGUAUCACCAGCAAGAAGCAUUGGCUCCGCCAAAUCUUCAGAAGCUUUAUCCCCGCCAAGAACAAAUGGAACCAUAAGUUCAGGGAAAUCAUCCGAAGCUCUAUCUCCACCCAGAAGUAAUGGCUCUGUAAGCUCAUCGAAAUCACCAGAAGCUGUGUCUUCACCUAAAACAAAUGGCUCUUUAAGUUCCUCAAAGUCCUCGAAGUCAAAGCUUUCACCACCGAAAGCAAUAAGGUUAAACUCCCGCCAAUCGUCAGUGGAGAACCUGGUGAACAAACCACCUGCACCACCCAGCAAGGCGGAUUCACCCACUAAAACCUGCAGUUCCAGCUCGGGAAGUUCGGCGGUCAAGUGGCCCAACAAGGACUUCCGAAAGUCCUCACUAAAUGUGGGACCUACAGACAGACCUCGGAAGUCACGAACUCCGAGUAGUGGUGGUGAGUCCGAGGAUCUACCCAAUGGAAGCAGCCUGGAGCGAUCACCAAGUGCUGGAUCCGAGGGAAGCCUAGCCUCGGCUAGUUCCUCCAAGAAAUCCAGUAAGCUGAGCAAUGGCAAGAUACCAGGUGCUCAAAAGCCAAAGAGCCACAAAUCCUGCAGUGAAUCGACCACUGGCAACUCAUCCUCGGCCAACGCCUCCGCUUCGGAUAGCGAGCAUCGGGUCAAAACGGUGAAGAAGCAGCCCAAAAAGAAGGCCACCAAAGAGGGUGGCAAGGCCAUUGUCACCUCGAACGCCCACAAGCCAAAUAGCACCACUGAAUCACCGCCAGCGGUGGUUGAAGAGGUGCCAGCAACGCAGACAAGACUGAAGAAACUCUCGGCGGUAUCGAAUUUUUUCGCCAACCGUCAGCAAGACGCAAAUAACGAGCCGAUAUUCCUCGAAAGCUCCGAGAGCUCUGGCGAGCCGGAGGCUCUUUCGCUGCCGGUGAUCUCGAAGAUCUCGAAAAUCUCGGGGAUCAGUCUGAAUACAGAUUUGCGAACGAACGAACCGCGAACGACGCCGUCGAGCGAAGCGAAACCCUCACCCGAAACGAAUUCCCUGAGUUCGAGUACGCGUUGCCCGCGAGAAAGCACGGAAACCACGGGAACCGGGACAAGAUUGCCCACCAGCACGAUCAGCACCACCCAGGAUACGAGUCUCACAACCACGGCCAGCUUAACCACCUCCGAGCAGGACGAUCCCAGUUGGUGGCAGGACACCAGCUUACAGAUAAAUACGGCCUCUGCUUUGGAUCAAAACAAUCGAGGGGAGAUGCCUCCUUACAGGUUGAGACAUAUCGAUUCUGGGGAGGAACAGGCCUGGUGGUUGCGUCAUGAUGACAAUGGCGAUGAUGACGAUACUCUGGCGGAGGAAACUCUGAACCCCCUAGAUGACGAUGCCCAGGAGGUGAGCAAGGCCACUUGGUGGAGUCAGGAGGAGCAGGACUCGAGCAGUCAGGUGAAACUGAUGCCCAGGAGCAGAAUAACACCUGAGAAGGAUGCGUGGUGGCUGCAGGAGGAGGAAACUGAGGCGUCCCCCAAAGAGAAUGGCGAUCUGAACAACAAUAGCGAACCCCAUGUAGAGGUGACCUUAAGAUUGCCUUCGAGUGGCAGUCAAAGAAGCUCCAAGGGAAGUGGAUCAAAAAGUGCCGCCAACUCCAAGAGCGGUGGCUCAAAUCCCUGGUGGUUGUCCGGACCUGCUAGAAAAAUGUUCAAUGUCCAGCGCGUGGAGUCCGGCGAAAGAGCCUGGUGGCAGGAAGAAACCGAAGAGGCACCUCAAGAGGAAAAGGAGAACGAACCACCGCCGGUGAAACCACCCACACCACCACCGCGAAUUAUAAGACAUUGGGAGUCCGGUGAGCGGGCUUGGUGGUUACAGGAAGACACCGAGGAACCUGAACUUCCCAAGCAACCCACCAGGGAUUAUGAAGAGCAACCAGUAAUGAUGGUGGGUCAGCAGAUCUCCAAGGACGAAGUGGACUUAAGGCUGGCACCACCGCCAGUGAUUUCCCAUGAGAUGAGCACCUCGUUCAACUUCGAUGCCUAUUCAGAGAGACCUCCGCCUUUGGGUCAAUGUGCCAGUCCGGUGAGAUGCCCCUCGCCCUAUGACAACAUUCCAAGGUCACAAGUGCAGGAGCUGCCAGCACCACCCAUGCCCACUUUGACCCCCCUGCAGCCUCGCUUUUCACCCCAAACAAGGAGGGUGGGCGAAAAGCUCUUCAUUUCCCGGCAUCAGAACAUCGAUGAACUGCUUGGAGGUGCCUGCCGACCCCUUAGUCCACUGUUCUAUGGAAACGCGAGUCCUGCGGAGGCUGAACUCACUCCGUUGGCCAGCAAGAAUAUGUUCCUGCUCGAGGAGGUGACACCUGACCAGGUGCGGAUCCACGACAGCACUGCCCAACUGCCGGUCAUCCAAAGAAUGCAGCGCGACGUCGAGUGGUUGGAGAACGGCAGCAACUUUUACGAGCCACCCAAACAACAGCAGCAACAACAACAGCAUCAGCCGCGCAGGAUCGAUGAUGCAGCUAUUCAGGUGUACAAGGAUGGCGACUACGGAGCCUAUUUGGAUCUGGAGUCAUCGCUGGCCGAGCAGACCGAGGAAAUCGAGGGACUGAACCUCAGUCGCAAGAACUCCCUGGUGGUGCGAACGCAGUUGAAUGUGCGCGUACACGCCAUAAUUGAGAAACUGCUGUCGGCGGAGGGCAGCGACCUGCGGCGGGCACUCUUCUCGCUGAAACAGGUGUUCCAGGAGGAUAAGGAUCUGGUGCACGCCUUCGUGGCCCUCGGCGGCCUCAAUUGUCUGGUGCGCGUGGGCAAUUGUGCGGAUCAAAACUAUCAGAAUUACAUUCUGCGAGCCCUCGGCCAGGUCAUGCUCUAUGUGGACGGAAUGAACGGCGUGAUGAAGCAUGAGCCGACGAUGCAGUGGCUCUACUCGCUGAUUGCCUCCAAUUACCGAUCCGUGGUGAAGACCGCCCUCAAGUUGUUGCUCGUCUUCGUGGAGUACGCCGAGUCCAACUGCUAUGUGCUGGUCAGUGCCAUUCACGCGGUGGACGCCUCCCAGGGAACACUGCCCUGGUCGAACAUAAUGAGACUGCUUAAGGACUAUGACAAUGCCGAUGCCGAACUGGUGAUCUAUGCCACUUCGCUGAUCAACAAAACCCUUGCAGGACUGAAUGAUCAGGAUAGUUUCUACGAUGAGAGUGAUCUUCUGGAGCAGCAGGGCAUGGAAACUGUGAUCCAGCGAUAUAUGUCCAAGCCGGGAACUGAUUUGGAUCUGCUCGAUCAACUGCAACUCUACGAGGCUGUGCUGAAAUUUGAGGAUGGUGAGUCGGAUGGACAGCGCUUGCCGCAGAAUUCAAUGAGGAAAACGCAGCGUUAUCGCCCGGGAACAAAUACUGCCGAAAGGCGCAAAUCUCGGCGCCACAGCACAGAUAACAGCCCCGCCCCUCUCACAAAAGUCCUGCCCACCACAGUCCUUCGAAUGACUCCCACCCAAGCAACAGUAGACGAGGAUAGUUCAGGAUCCACCAACUCCACAGAAUUCAGCGGAGGUCUCUUUAACGAAAAGAAACCUCGUGAUGGAGCUGGAGUAACCCCAGGACUUCGAAGAAGAAGAGAGCGGGCUGAAAGGCACAAAAGCUUCCUCAAAGAACAACAAGAGGCGGCAGCCAACGGCAUUUUUGCCGCCUUAGAGCAGCGGGAAGGUCUUGGCCAAAUAGUAACCGCCAUACCCGCCACCAUUCAAACCGGCGACAGUCCGCCUCAGUCGUUGCAACCGGAGGUGCCGCCGUGCAACAACAUCAGCGGAAUCGGCAGCAUUAGCAACAACAAUCUGAGCAACCUCAGCUGCAACGAUACGCCGAACAACAGCCUGCUGCUGAUGAGUCCCAGCAAGCAAUUGCUGAGCGGCAGCCACAGCAUUUCGAUCAUAAACAACAGCUUCGACAAGGCGAGCAAUAACAACCAGAGCGAGUUCCUCACCAAGAAGAAUCUGUUCCGGGAGCGCAACUCAACUGUGAUCAGUGGGAUAAUGAAGAAUAUCCAGCAGACCGAUAGUGCCUACAAGAAGUACGAGAACGAAGCCAAUCGGCUGAACAACUACUACAGUCAGUCGCCGAAGCACCAGAUCCACCAGCCCAUUCAGCCCAUCAGCCCGCAGGAAGUCCUUCUGAGUCCGAAGAAGACGCUGAAUGCCUCGGGAUUCGAUUUCGCGCCCGCUCCUCUCAGUUCCACGCCGGUCAAGUGCGAUGUCCAGCCGGAGCCGGAGCCACUGAGUCCGGUGGGAAAGCCCGCUGGGGCAGCGCCACCGCCACCGCCUCCUCCUCCGCCGCCACCUCCACCACCGCCCCCCGGCUGGUGGCACGCCCCCAUCUACAGCAGCCUCCAGCAGCCAGCUCGCACCCUAACCACUACUAACCCAGAGCUGCCGCCGCGUCCCGUGGAUCCUUCAGAUGUGGAGAGCGAGGACAAGCAGCUGCUGCUGCAGCUGAAGCGGGACCACACGGUCAAGGACCUCACCCAGAAGCUGAGCAACCUGCCCAUGAGUCCCACCCAGGACCCCGCGAACCGAGCCCUCGUUGGCGACAUGUCCGGACUCAUUUCGAAAGCCAAAGAGGGUCUGGCCAAGAGCAAGAGCAAGGGAGAGAUAUCCAGAUCAUCCAGUGUGGAUCAGGAUAUAAAGAAGUCUGAGCCCAAGAAGUCGGAAAACGAACUUCACUGGGAGGAGUUGGUGAGGAAUAUGACACGCCCCUUGAAUCUCUGCGAUCUGGACUUUACGGAUCUGCGGGAUGAUGACGAGAAGGACGUUCUGGCCCCUCGAAGUCUGGGUGCUGGCAUACCCCCUCCACCUCCGCCUCUGGGAGGAGCCAUUGCCCCUCCGCCCAUGAUGCCACCCAGCCUGGCACCUCCGCCCAUGUUUGGAUACGGGGGAAGCCUCACCAACAGUGUGAACUCGCUAAAUGGCUCGAUAAAUGGGGAACUGGUCAAUGGAAACAACACCAUUAAAAAGAACAAAAAGACGGUCAAGCUCUUCUGGAAGGAAGUGCGCGAGGACAUGAUCCCACAGGUGGUGGGCAAGACCAUUUGGGACGAGUUGCCCGAUGCGAAUGUGGACACCCAGAAGCUCGAACAUCUCUUUGAGUCCCGAGCCAAAGACUUGAUGACCAAGAAACAACAAGAGCUGAACAAGAGCAAAGAGAUCAUCGUGCUCGACCACAAGCGGUCCAACGCCAUCAACAUUGCGAUCACCAAGCUGCCUCCUCCGCGGGCAAUCAAGACCGCCAUCCUGAAGAUGGACGCCACUGUGGUCACGCGGGAGGGCAUCGACAAGCUGCUGAACAUGCUGCCCACCGACGAGGAGCGCGGCAAGAUCCAGGAGGCCCAGCUCUCCAAUCCGGAGCUGCCCUUGGGCAGUGCCGAGCAGUUCCUGCUGACCCUCGCCUCCAUUUCCGAGCUGGAGGCCCGCCUCAAGUUGUGGGCAUUCCGGCUGGACUUCGAUAACAGCGAGAAAGAGAUAGCGGAACCCCUGAUGGACCUCAAGCAAGGCAUUGAGAUCCUGCGUCAGAACCGCACCUUCCGCAGCAUCCUCUCCACGUUGCUGUCAGUGGGAAUCUUCCUGAACGGAGCUCCUGUCAAGGGAUUCCAGAUCGAGUAUCUGGCCAAGGUUCCCGAAGUGAAGGACACAGUGCACAAGCACUCGCUGCUUCACCACCUGUGCCACAUGGUCAUGGAAUCCAGCAGCGACACCAGCGAUCUCUACUCCGAAAUUGGACCAAUAACACGAGCCUCCAAGGCGGAUUUCACUGAGUUGGCUCACAAUCUCAACCAAUUGGAGUCGGAGUGCAAGGCGUGUUGGGAUCGCCUGAAACUAAUUGCCAAACACGACUGCCCGCCGCCGCUGAAGCAAAAGUUGGUGGAUUUCCUCGCCGAUUGUGCUGAGAGGAUAAUAAUCCUGCAAAUUGUCCAUCGGCGGGUGAUGAAUCGCUACAGAAAGUUCCUGUUGUGGCUGGGAAUGCCGCAGCACAGUGUGGCCGAGUCGAGACCCAAUGAGUUCUGCAGGACUCUCUCCGAAUUCGCUUUGGAGUACCGAACCACCCGCGAAAGGGUGCAACAGCAGCUGGAGAAGAAGGCCAACCAUCGCGAGCGGAAUAAGACGCGCGGCAAGCUGAUCAUCGACAUGGCCAAGUUCAAGACCAAAGACGAUGUGGCCGAUGACGAGUUGAAAAAACUUUUGGACACAUCCAGUGCUGACCAGGCUGAUGGCACUCUAACCUGGCGAAGACGGCGAGCAGAACAGCUCCGUUCGCCAAUUUCCCGGCAGAGCGAGGAGCAGUUCACCGAUGGCGAUGAUGAGAUAUUGGAAUCGCUGGUCAAAACAGCCACCAAGGCGCCAGGAACUAGGACAACGCCCAGGGAACGGAAACGGACGCGUCAUGCGGAUCGCAAAUCAUUGAAGCGCAGCCGCACGCGCGAAGGAUUCACAGUUGAAAGAGCACCGUCGCCGUAGAAACCGUUACUGUUAACCAAAUCCGUAACCGUUACCAAAAAGAACAGCCAACUGUUUUUUAGGUCUUACCUUUUUUGUACGUCGGACUUUAAAGAACGGUCUGACCGAGGAGGAGAAACAGCACGUGGCUGCCUUAAUACAAACCUAUUAGGAUUAGCAUACAACUAUCGUAGAUACCCGCAUCACAACCGAGAUAAUCCCAUCCCCCAGUGACGUCACAAGUCGGGCACUACGCGCACAGACUGAAAUUGGCGAUCUCAGGCGAGCAAGCGAACCCAGAAAACCCCUUUUAUACGACAACGUGCGCAUCAUCAGUACUUGUUUUGUUUUUUUUUUUAUAUUUUAUUUUUUUAUUUUGCCACUGCAGCAAAUGAGUACCAACAACAACAUCAACGAAAAUGUCCUUAAACAAAAGCGUUCAUCAUCGUGUUUUUCUGUUAUUUAAUUUUUGUUUUUGCUUCAGCUAAGUAUUAUUAAUUAAACGUAAUUCAAUAAACCUGUAUUAGUAGUUGGAAACGAUUUUAAUGUUAGAAUUUCGAUCACAAGAAAUUUCAAUGUCCCGAACCACGUCAUUAAAUUUGUACCAAAAUUCGACACGAAAUGUGCUUUCUAAAUUAACUUAAAUCUUAAAGUUAUGUCUAACUUAGUUACGAAAAUCAAUAAAUAAAACAUAUUUAUUAUAUACGAAAAAAA